rnacentral:lncRNA from 1 species
CUGGGAAUCAAUGUGUGAGGUGGUGCUAUGUAGCAGGAACCCCUCUUGCUUUGCAAAUAGUUUUUUGUUUGUUUUCCUUUUUGCCCAAUAGAGCCCUGCUCUACUGACCCUUCAAUGUGCCCGUGUGCCUAAAUAUUCCUGGUCGUGUGAAAAGAACCCAGGUAUUAGCUGAACUAAGGAGCACAAUUCUGCAACAUUUUGGCACCCAAACACGGGGCUUGAGAAAUGAAUGCAAUUGGAGAAACUGGUUGUUUUACCAGGCGUUGAUUGGAAAUGUGUGCUUCCCUUUAAGCAGUCAAGCUCAACUUGCAGAACUGAUGGGAACCCCUUGGGAAAACUGGCCUCAAAUGUUUGUCUACACAGUCCACAUACAGGGUUCUUAACCUGCGUUUUUACCUACAUUUUAGACUGACCCUGCUUGUGCCUGUGAACCAACCAACAAUCUCUGGCUGCAGCUCAGAAAGGACAAAAGAGAAUGGAUGAGGGAAACUUCCCAGGGCUUGUCUGGGUAUGCCCACAGUGGACUGGAGCCCAAAAUGCACACUGGAGGAAGUGGAUGGAGCCACGUGGAUGUCAUGCCUUAUGCAGGGGAGGAGCCUGCUCUCUUCAGCUCCUGUGGUAAUGUGGGAAUCGAUCUGUGAGGAAACACUUUCUGAAAAUGUCAGAACUCUUGAAAACAUGGAUGAGGAAAAGCAUAAGUACUGCUUUAUGCUUUUCUUAUGAAUUUUAAAAGAUGUAAUUUAAAGAUUGAAACUCCCACAACUUUGGCAGACCAACUCCUCAGAAAACAUUAUUCUUUGACAUCAAUAUGUUUUGCACAAAAUUGAAUGGCAAGUGAAAGGCAUCAAAUGGAGCUGUCAUUUAAAUGUGCUUGCCAACUAGCUUGUUUAUCAAAACAUUCCAGACCCUUUCAAAUUCUCAUUUACAUUGUUUCUUGUUUACCACACCCAUAAAUUUGUAUUACCAGCAUAUUUAACUAUCCGGCUAUUUUGGAGAUUGAAAAAAGAAGACCUGAUUUAUCAUGUGCAAUAUCUCACACAUCUGUCAUUUCUAUUCUACCGCAAUUCGAUGGAGUCUUGUUCUGUGGUCCAGGCUAGAGGGCAGUGGCAUGAUCUCGGCUCACUACAAGCUCUGCCUCCCGGGUUCACGCCAUUCUCCUGCCUCAGCCUCCUGAGUAGCUGGGACUACAGGCGCCCGCCACCACGCCUGGCUAAUUUUUUGUAUAUUUACUAGAGAUGGCUAGUGUUAGCCAAGAUGGUCUCGAUCUCCUGACCUCGUGAUCUGCCCACCUCAGCCUGCCAAAGUGCUGGGAUUACUGGCGUGAGCCACCGUGCCUGGCCAGCAUCCUCUAAUUAUUAUUCAUAGUUUGUGAAUUUAGGCCUACGUGAAUAAUAAUAUAAUAUUUACUAUGAUGUUACUAUCUACCAACCUUAUUUUUCUUUUCUAUAAAAUAGGAGCCAAAAUAAUAUUUAUGUCAUACCUUAUGAAGUUAAAAUAAAAUAUAACGAAUGAGGGGCUUAA